UACGUAGGUGGCAAGCGUUGUCCGGAUUUACUGGGUGUAAAGGGCGAGUAGGCGGGACUUCAAGUCAGGUGUGAAAUCUGGGGGCUUAACCCCCAAACUGCAUUUGAAACUGAGGUUCUUGAGUGAUGGAGAGGCAGGCGGAAUUCCCGGUGUAGCGGUGAAAUGCAUAGAGAUCGGGAGGAACACCAGUGGCGAAGGCGGCCUGCUGGACAUUAACUGACGCUGAGGAGCGAAAGUGUGGGGAGCAAACAGGAUUAGAUACCCUGGUAGUCCACACUGUAAACGAUGGAUACUAGGUGUGGGGGGUCUGACCCCUUCCGUGCCGGAGUUAACGCAAUAAGUAUCCCACCUGGGGAGUACGAUCGCAAGAUUGAA
rnacentral:rRNA from 1 species